rnacentral:tRNA from 1 species
GGGCUUGUAGCUCAAAUGGUAGAGCGAGAGAGUGAAGAUCUCUGCGUAGGCGGUUCGAUACCGUCCGAGCCCA